rnacentral:rRNA from 1 species
AUUGAACGCUGGCGGCAGGCCUAACACAUGCAAGUCGAGCGGAUGAAGGGAGCUUGCUCCUGGAUUCAGCGGCGGACGGGUGAGUAAUGCCUAGGAAUCUGCCUGGUAGUGGGGGAUAACGUCCGGAAACGGGCGCUAAUACCGCAUAGGUCCUGAGGGAGAAAGUGGGGGAUCUUCGGACCUCACGCUAUCAGAUGAGCCUAGGUCGGAUUAGCUAGUUGGUGGGGUAAAGGCCUACCAAGGCGACGAUCCGUAACUGGUCUGAGAGGAUGAUCAGUCACACUGGAACUGAGACACGGUCCAGACUCCUACGGGAGGCAGCAGUGGGGAAUAUUGGGCAAUGGGCGAAAGCCUGAUCCAGCCAUGCCGCGUGUGUGAAGAAGGUCUUCGGAUUGUAAAGCACUUUAAGUUGGGAGGAAGGGCAGUAAGUUAAUACCUUGCUGUUUUGACGUUACCAACAGAAUAAGCACCGGCUAACUUCGUG